CCAAAGGCUCUUUUCAGAGCCACCCCCGUGUUCCUAGAAAGAGCAGG
rfam:Apaloderma vittatum contig66754, whole genome shotgun sequence.